rnacentral:rRNA from 1 species
AGAGUGCAGGAGAGGAAGGUAGAAUUCCCGGUGUAGCGGUGAAAUGCGUAGAGAUCGGGAGGAAUACCAGUGGCGAAGGCGGCCUUCUGGACUGACACUGACGCUGAGGUGCGAAAGCGUGGGUAGCAAACAGGAUUAGAUACCCUGGUAGUCCACGCCGUAAACGAUGUCGACUAGCCGUUGGGGUCCUCGAGACCUUUGUGGCGCAGUUAACGCGAUAAGUCGACCGCCUGGGGAGUACGGCCGCAAGGUUAAAACUCAAAUGAAUUGACGGGGGCCCGCACAAGCGGUGGAGCAUGUGGUUUAAUUCGAUGCAACGCGAAGAACCUUACCUACUCUUGACAUCGAGCGAACUUUCCAGAGAUGGAUUGGUGCCUUCGGGAGCGCUCAGACAGGUGCUGCAUGGCCGUCGUCAGCUCGUGUUGUGAAAUGUUGGGUUAAGUCCCGUAACGAGCGCAACCCUUGUCCCUAUUUGCCAGCGAUUCGGUCGGGAACUCUAGGGAGACUGCCGGUGACAAACCGGAGGAAGGUGGGGACGACGUCAGGUCAUCAUGGCCCUUACGAGUAGGGCUACACACGUGCUACAAUGGCCGGUACAAUGGGCUGCAAUCCCGCGAGGGGGAGCUAAUCUCAUAAAGCCGGUCUCAGUCCGGAUCGGAGUCUGCAACUCGACUCCGUGAAGUCGGAAUCGCUAGUAAUCGUGCAUCAGAAUGGCACGGUGAAUACGUUCCCGGGCCUUGUACACACCGCCCGUCACACCAUGGGAGUGGACUGCACCAGAAGUGGUUAGCCUAACUUCGGAGGGCGAUCACCACGGUGUGGUUCAUGACUGGGGGAAGUCGAACAAGAG